rnacentral:other from 1 species
ACCACUGGGCAUUGCCCCCAGUUUCCCCCAAAUUUGGGCAUCGGUACCCGAGUCUUCCAAUCGACUGGGCGUUGCCCCUGGACACCGGGGACUGCCCCCCCGGGGUCCACUCACCUCCAGCAG